GUGCCAGCAGCCGCGGUAAGACAGAGGGUGCAAACGUUGUUCGGAAUUACUGGGCGUAAAGCGAGUGUAGGCGGUCUGAAAAGUCAGGUGUGAAAGCCCUGGGCUCAACCCAGGAAGUGCACUUGAAACUGCCAGGCUAGAGUAUCGGAGAGGUUGGUGGAAUUCUCGGUGUAGAGGUGAAAUUCGUAGAUAUCGAGAGGAACACCGGUGGCGAAGGCGGCCAACUGGACGAAUACUGACGCUGAGACUCGAAAGCGUGGGGAGCAAACAGGAUUAGAAACCCUCGUAGUCC
rnacentral:rRNA from 1 species